rnacentral:lncRNA from 1 species
ACACAGAUGAGAAAGAACCAGCACAAGAGUUCUGGCAACUGUAACAGUCAGAGUGUCUUCUUACCUCCAAAUGACCACACUAACUACCCAGAUAUGGUUCUUAACAGCCACAGUUCUGGUUCUUACUACCAGCCUUUCCUUGCUAGGGACCAUCUUUCCUUAGUUUAGAGUUUCUCAUGGUAACUAUACAUUAAGGAGCUUAUUUAUACUCAUUAAUGAUUUAGUCUACGUGGAUGCUGGUUCAUCUGAGAUAGAUAGAUAGAUAGAUAGAUAGAUAGAUAGAUGUCAAGUUCAGUAGUAGUUAUGGAACCACUCUCACUGGGUUAACAAGAAUUAUAAGCCAGGCUUUAGACAGAAUUAUAGUUAGGCAUCAUUCAGAGUGCACUGGUGCACUUUGACUCACUUCUCUGCAGCUGCUGAGAGUCAUUUAGGAUGCUGGCCACCUGGUACCUGCUCCCCCAUUGUGCCUGUAGAUAGAAUUUCUGAUGUUAGAAUGAUAGGAGCUUCUUGCUCAAGAGCUUACGGCGUUUUCAAAUUCCAGCAGGUCUGAGGCCAACCAGUGUGAAGAUCCCCCACCCACCCAGAAACAGACUUAGAACAAAAAAUGUAGUUUCUUCAUCUCCCUGUCCCAAGGUAUCACUCUGAGCUUCUCGUCUAAUCAGUGAUUCCCACACUUCAACCCCAGUUAAUACCUCUUAAAAACAACCCCAAAACUCUUGGGGAGACAUAGUUGAAGUUUCCUCUGGUCUCCUCAUUCAGCUGCCCUACAGGUAUUAAACUCUGUCUCUGCUGUAUCCCAAGUGUCUCAGUUUAUUGACUCACUGCACAUCGGGCAAAUGAACCUAUUAUGGUUACAAU